AUAGGUUUCACUUAUGCACCGCACUGCACGCUCCAUUGAGUUGUUUUCUUGAGUAAAGUCGGAGCACAAUGUCGAUCUGCACCUUCAAAGUUGUUUUUCUGUCAUCAGAUCAAUAUUUGAAUCAUAUGUGUCUCUGAAUGUUUUUUCCCCCCCUUUUUCUUCCAGAGCCAUAUCGCAAAGACUCGGCCCGUGCUGGCUGCGAUUCAAUAGAGAAGCAUUCUCCUUUUAAUGGUGUGAGCGCCAACCAAUCACAGCACCCCGUGCUCCCCCUCCGCUCCCGGACCUCCAGCCAAUCCCAGACAGCCUCGCUCCACACAUGACACUAUGUGCUGCUGUCCAUCAAAAGCCUCAUAUAUAGUGCAUGCACGAAAAUGUGAAACAGUUUCGAACUUGCGCCUUGUCUUUUUGUGGGUGUGUUUGUGUGUAUGGUUGCUAUUGUGUAUGCCUCUGUGUGUGUACGUGCGAGCGUGCACGUCAGUGUGCAGAGUGUGUUUGUGCAGAGUGGGGGGUGGAUGCAUGUGGGAAUGUGGUUUCUUGUUUAUCUAUGUAGCUGUGCAGAAGGCGCGAGAGGGAGAGAGGGAGGGCUUGAGUGAGGGAGAGAGGGAGAGAGAGAGAGAGAGAGAGAGAGAGAGAGAGAGAGAGAGAGAGAGAGAGAGAGAGAGAGAGAGAGAGAGAGAGAGAGGAAGAGAUAUUUCUGAGCCACUUGUAUUUGCAAACUCCUGGCUGAGGUCCCACUGGCGGCAGGGAGAUCGGACUGAAAGAGUGCAUGUCAGGAUUGUGCUCCACUGUGUGCUUGUGCAUGUGUAUGGGUGAGACAUACAGAGAGAGGACGCAUUCAAUCCAUUUCACCCACAUAGGCCGGUUUAAUAUUUCAUGCCUGACUAUGGAAGCGUUGCCCCAUUUCUACUGUCCAGCCACAAUAGAUUGCUGUUGUCCAACUUUUGGUCCCGUUGCCGGCAGGAACGAGACACAAGACAGCACCCACCGCUCAUCAUUCUGAAGAAGGUGGGGACGAAGAUAAAACGAUGAACGAGUUUACCGGCAUAUCUGAAGAGCUAUUUUCAGGGAAAUCCAAGCCUCAGUCCUCAUCAUCAUCAUCGUCAUCAUCAUCAUCAUCAUCAUCCUCAUUCCUUCUGGUUUGCCGGCAACGUCAUUUCAACCUCAACAUGAGCAUGGGUGGUAACACGUGCUGGAGCACGGCUUACCCACUCAGGCCAAGAGAAAUACCCAUGCAAAAAAUUAAACAGCACUUUGGUUUGAAGGCUUCAAUUUUCAACCGAUUGGUGAAAGCUGAAGCCGGAUCACAGAAACAACUGAUACCGUGGCCAAUUUACAUACGCUCCAUAAUUUAAAUCUGGAACUGCAGACAUUUUAAAACAAGCGAUCUUGGGCGGCAACCGGCAAGCUCGUGUGUGAUUUUCCACUUGUCGGAGACCAAACGAAGCGACAAUAAGAACCAUGCAACCAAUGGAAAGGAAAAAAAAUGUGUAGUGCUUUUUGAUCUUUCUCAAAGUUUGUGUAUGUUUAAAUUGUUCGGCCAGUGAAACAUCUGCCAUCAAUGAAACGGCAACGGCGAGGUACAUCAUCUCUGUCGGUGUCCACAGUGAACAUUCAACGCUGUCGGUGAGUUUGAACUCAGGCAAAACCAUCGACCGUUGACUGUACCCUGAGGGGUGCCACAUCGCAUGUUCCACGAGCUCCUUGAAAUAUCCUGCGACCGUUCCACGGAUGCUGGAUUCCUAACGCUCGUCUGCUGAAGAAUUCGUUUAGGACGGACCGGACACUUUGGCUCCACCUGUAAAUGCUGCAAUAAACAUUCAUUGCUGUCGGUGGGUUGACACGAGAAUAACUCACUGAUCAAUGAAUGCAAACUGCGGUAAACUGUCUCAGAGAGCCUGAGAUUACACCGAACACAAAUUCUGACAAGAUGAAACAAUAUGGAUAGCACAUAGAUUGGAAUUGAGUGGUGGCCCUACCUCCUUUCAAGCACAAAAAUGAAAAUGUGGAACUUGAUUGAGUUCAGUGCUCUUUGCUUUUGCUCGUAAUUAGGAACACGUUUUGUCUUAUCUGCUGUGAGACCAACUCGACUGUGACUGGAGUUCAACAAUGGAAAUGAAGACCAAAGAGUGUCAACAAACAUUCCUAAAACUUGCCAGAUGGAUCUUUCAGAAAGAAAUAAAGACUAUCACAUGCUUGA